AGAAAAGUGCCUGAUUUAAAAGGGUUAUUCUGAUAGAAUAAAUAAUGUAAAAUUUUACCUUUUCUU
rnacentral:tRNA from 1 species